GCCUGUUCGCAGGCUAGGUAUGCUAAAGACUACAAUCUUGGCCAAAAGUUCGUAGAACGACUAAACCAAUUCGCCACUUUUUAAUAUACUUGGGUUUUAAAAUUAUAUUGUACCUCCCCCCAAUCCCCCCAUUCAAUGUUGCUUUCCCACAUUUCUACUACACGUAACAUUUUGUCUGUACAAUAUGUUAAACCAUAAAUAUAGGCGAAACGUCAACAUUGAAUGGGGGGAAAAGGGGGAGGCCUUGAAAAUGCGCAAAAAUUUAUCAUCGUCCUACGGUUAAUGGCCAAGAGUUGUAACACAAAGAAAUACCAUACAGCCUCAUUACCUUUUUUAAAUUGAUGACUAUUUUAUAUAGUGGGGCAGAUUGAUGAAUAUUAUGGACAGGCUUUUACGGCUUUUUAUCCCUUUUUCUUUUUUUUCAGGCUUUUUUUCUUUUCUUUUUUUUUCUUCUUUUUACGCCAGUAGGGUGUCCAGGUGUCCUAGGACGUUAUACCCUAAGGACAUUUUUUGGCUAUAGGGGCGUUACAGAUUCCGCUCCAGGGAAGACGCUGACUUGGAUUUCUUGUUUAAUAAACCUUAUCUUAUAAAAAUACUAUCUUAUAAAAAAGUGAAAUUUCAAAGUUCACUUUUAGGAAAUGUUUUAUUUAAUUGCCCAAAUUACAUAGUUAUUUACAUUUAUUUCCUUUUGAGAUACUUUCAGAGAGCUAGAGACCUUUGGAAACCUGUAUAGGCUUUUAUUUAAAUAUCACCUAUAUCUUUAGAAAGCUCGCAAUAAAAUAAUUAUGAGACAUUUAAACGGUCCUUGCAGCUUCAUGUUGAUCGCACAGACAAAAACAAUAGAAAAGGGACUGGAACUGACGUCCAAUAGCUACAUCACAAUUUCACUUUUUGGACUUGAGUUCUCCGUAUAUGGAGCAAGUCUGAGUCACACCCUCAAGUCCAAACUCGAGUCCAUUAGUUCAAGACUUCCAGACACGACUACCACCCAGUGUGGAAAGUUUGUAUUGCACAACUGAGAUAUUUGGCAUGCAAUUUUUGUGCUUUCUACAGUAUAUAUUUAUUUUUAUUUAUUUAUUUAUUAAACUUUGCCAAAAACACUUAACAGAACAGCAAAUAGACAUCUACACAAUAAACAUGGACAAAAAUGGCAGGGACACCACAACAGUGUAACCAAUUACUGUGGGCCCUAUAUGUAGGAUCUAACCCGAAAAGUAGGGCCUAAUCGCCUGCGAGCGGGUAGGACAUCACGUGAUAAAAACACAUGUUGGUUUUAUAUUAUUUGAUUGUUUGUUCGGAUUACGAAGGGCAAAAGUCAGGUACAUUUGCAUGUUUUUGUCCUGUUUUCU